rnacentral:rRNA from 1 species
CAAUAGCGUAUAUUUAAGUUGUUGCAGUUAAAAAGCUCGUAGUCGUAUUUUGGCUGAGAACGAUCGGUCCGCCGUUAGGUGUGCACUGAUUGGUCUCAGCUUCCUGGUGAGGAGGUGUGCUUCACGGCCACUUAGUCACCGUGGUUACUUUGAAAAAAUUAGAGUGUUCAAAGCGGGCUUACGCUUGAAUAUAUUAGCAUGGAAUAACACCAUAGGACUCCUGUCCUAUUUCGUUGGUCUCGGGACGGGAGUAAUGAUUAAGAGGAACAGUUGGGGGCAUUCGUAUUUCAUUGUCAGAGGUGAAAUUCUUGGAUUUAUGAAAGACGAACUUCUGCGAAAGCAUUUGCCAAGGAUGUUUUCAUUGA